GACUAUACAUUUGAACUUGAAGUUGAUAUUUGGUUUGAGUUUCCAAAUAUUUCUAUCUUAAUAUGUUUGUUAACUUUUAGACUGUCUUUGUUUUCCACGUUGCGCACAUGAUUGUAACAAAAGUACAUUUCUAAAUGAGCUAGAUAUGCCAGGGUUAUCAAAAUCUGAGAAUACGGAAGGCAGCGGUUGGAAGUUGAAUGCUUGGCUUGAGUAUAUUGAGGAGAUGCUGCAAAAGGUUAAACAAGAAGAAAGGCUCUGAUUAUCAUGUGAGUCUCCUGAUCACUCUUCCAAGUACAUGAAUAUAGAUGGCCGGUCUUCUGAUCAACAAGAGCAGUUGCCAUCUAGUGAUGAGAAGCUCCAUGCUGAAAAUGCUCCGCGGGAAACUAGUCUUCCUACAUCACGCAGACUAAGCAGUGAUGAUGCUACUGAAUUAGCGAGUAGCAUGGCAUGCCCGAAACCAACAGAUGAACCAAUUAGUUGCAAAUCGGUUUCUGACACUGGGACCAGUUCCAUACCUGAUUUUUCCACUAUAAAAGGGGAAAUCAUCUGCUUGGAUAAUCUCUCAAUAAGAGAGCUUCAUGAAACUUUCAGAGCGACCUUUGGGUGAGAAACGUCUGCCAAGGACAAGCUGUGGCUUAAACGGAGAAUUGCGAUGGGGUUGACUAAUUCUUGUGAUGUUUCAACUACGAAUUUUAUAAUCAAAGGCAAAACAUUAGUCCGUGAGAAAGCCAAAGAAGAAUCGCACUGUGGGAUGGAUGGCAAUAAAUGCUCAGAUGAUUCUCAGCUCUCGGAUCAAACUAUCAGAGGAAUAUAUGAUGAUGUCGGGGGCCCAGCAACGUUCCUGACUAACCAAAUGGAAGACCAACAUGUUUCAUCAGUGAAGAGAUUCAGAGAACCUAAAACAGAUCCUGACACAGAGUGAAGAUCUCCAUAUGGAGCAGUCUACAGCCAAGAGAGUUAGAAAGCCAACUAGACGGUACAUCGAAGAAUUAUCAGAAGUUGAGACCAGAGAGUGCAGCGGGAGACUGAUUUCUUCUGUUAAAUGUUUGGAACAUGGUCGGUCCUCUCCAAAAUCACGGAUCAGACUUGUCCAAGAUGUUGGUUUGGCUAGAACAGCUUUUGUCACUAGGCAGGACUCUCUUGGAGGAUGCGGUGUUCAAAUCCCAUAUGUUUCUAGGGUGCGAAGAGGGCGCCCUAGAGAAAAUUUUAGGGCUCUAAUGAACUACCAUGACAUGGCAGACAAAUUGGUGGAAAAGGCCUUUGAUGUUUGUGCUUCUCGACAAGAUGAUGAUGGUGAAAGUGGAAGCAA